AGGAAUGUUCUUUACAUUGUCUUUUCUCCUUCACCUUUUUUGCAAGGGUAUGCGGGUCAUCUCAAAGUAGCAGGAAUUUCAUCGUGGAUACAUCUUAUCAAUGUCAACCUUGGUUAGUGUUUUUGAACACUACUAUCUAUUCUCUGUCCCUUGUAAUUGUUUAUUAAAAUGGUCUCGAUUUAUAGUGCGAGGGGCUCCAAACUGAUUUUCAUGGAUGAUGAGCCUUCCUAUUUGUACAUGUAGAUUGUCCCUCUUUGUGUAUUUUACAGUUUAUAGGUUUUUACAGAACUUAGAUGUUUGUAGCUGAUUUCACUUGUACAUGCCCUUUUCGUACUUCUGCACCACUCCUUACUCCUUAAUGUCAUCUACUUUGUUUAUUAUGUUCACGAGGUGAGGCCAUGAAAAAGUGCUGCUUUCGCUACCCAUGAAUAUGAUUCAUUCAAGUGAGAGGCAGAAAAAUAAUGCAGAUAAUCUUUUCUCCAGUGUGUGAAAAUACCGUUAUUAAGUACCUGGUUCCUUUCAUGCAUGGUGGAAUCUUAUUGAUCCAUUCAUGGUUCUGGUUCUAACAUAUGGUGAAUGCGUGGCUAACCAAAUUUCAGCAAGUUGACGUUUGUUAUAUAUCUAAUUAAUCUUAUUGACAUGUGUUUAGGCACACUAAUUAUUAAUUUUUCCUACAGCUUCAUCCAGAAACUAUACCCCUCCAUCAACCACAAAUAGCUCAUGUUCAGAAACACAUUACUUAUUAAGUGUAUCAUCCGAGUGUUCUUCUUGAGUUCUUCUUCAAAGAAUGAAAAAAAAAUCCUAUUUCAACUUUAGAAUUGGCUACAGCAAGGUAGUAACUUGAACAUUAUUAAUUUUUGAUGGGAUGUUCAUUGUUACUUGAUGUACGCUGAGUUUUCCUUCAGACAACAAUGUUAUUUUUUCUCUAAACUAAAAUAUGUGUGUUGAGUUUGUCUAAACUCAGAAUUGAGUUUAGUUGUAAAGUUAAUAAUUUCCUUUUCAUGUAAUUGAGUUUUACUUGAAAAACAAGGUUGUUUGUUCCCUAAAACAGGAGGAUAAAGAUACGUAUGAAUGAGGUUACAAAUAAUGAACUAAGCAGUCGAGCAUUUUUCUUUUUAAAGGUUAGGGUGCUCUCUAUAAUAUUUGUUUGGGGUAUUUUUAGAACCCUUCUGUGUUCCAUAGAUUCAUUUGACCUUCGAGCCUAAAAUUAUUGCCAGUUAACCAAUUUGCUUGCACAUCUCAUGUAGUUUUUGCUAACUUCCAGGGAACCUAGGGGUACAGGCCUGCUGAUUAUACAUGGAACUAUUCCUGCUGAUAGGAUUUCUUUGUUUAAAAAUGUGAUUGGAUCAAGCUAAUUCCACCCACAUAGCAUAUACUCUAUUAGUGUGCGGGUUAUAUUAUCUCAUAAGGUUUAUUUUCUUGCCUAAGCAAUGCAUUCAUAUAUUGAUUUUUUUUUACAGUUCCCUCAACGUCAAUCUUUGUUUCCUGACCACUUUAUCUGCUAACACAUGUUCUCAAAGCAGGUUUUGGAUAGACCUAAGAUAUAGCUGUCCUGCCAGAUUGCUGUUUUUGCAAGUUACAGGAUCCAUCUUUUCCCCUUGGCACAGAGGUAGAUGGCACCUUACAGUAUAUAGUCCUUCUAAUAUGUUAUGCUCCAAUCCUGUAUUCUAUUUUCAUUCGGCUUUGAUCUUUUCCCUUUGGCAUAGAGGUAGAUGGCACCUUAUAGUAUAUAGUCCUUCUAAUGUGUUAUGCUCCAAUCCUGUAUUCUAUUGUCAUUCGGCUUUGCUAACUCUUUUGCUGAUUAUAUAUCGAUUGUUCAUCUUCCUCUUUUUAUUAAUUGCAGAGCUACUAAGAUGUUGUACCAGAUAUCAAAGCCGACCAUAGGUGUAGGCCAACUGAAAGCUUGAAAUGAGCAAUAAGUGAUUUGUGCUGGAUAAAAAGGUGUGUUGCAACUCCUUUCGUACUUUGGUAGUGCAGUAAUUUUUGUUUAAAUUGGUUUUCCUACAUGAUAUCUCCAUGCACAAAUGUGAAUGACAUGAUCGAUCUCCCCAUUCAAUGAGUAGGUUUACCUGAACUCUGAACUUGAUUCUUAUUCACUUCAUUUUGAGAAAAUACUAUGAAAACAAUCUUGAGUUGUUAAUGGAAUCAGUAUUUCAAAUGAGCUACUGACAGAGCUUUGUUUUGUCCACACUAUCCCCAUGUAGGAAAAACCCUUCCUCCCAAAUUGCUGUCAUUUAGAAAACAUCUA
rnacentral:lncRNA from 1 species